rnacentral:misc_RNA from 1 species
AGUUUGUUUCGGUCUUUCGUUUGGUUCGGUUCGUUAAGGUGCAACGUGACUGGCUGAUCGUCGCGAGCAGGUCGUUAAGAAUUUUCAAGGUUUCCACUUCCUAAGUGGAUGCGGAGGAGCUUCAAUGAAAAGCAACGUCUAAUUUGACGCGCGGAUCGUGUGACAAGUGAUUUGGAGAAAAAAAAACGAGUGACACAAAUCACACCGAGGAAGAAUCCACUUAAGAACCAGCUCUGAUUGAUGGAGUCCUGAAACUGGUUUUUCUUUGUUCUGUCUGUACGAGCGCGUUACGCCUCCGAGGUUCUCCCCAAGUGUACAGUUGGUGUGUGUGUUUUAUUCUCUACUUCUUGGUCGCCGCUCUGCAUGAAGACGACGAAUCAAUAAACGCAGUUCUAAGCCUAGCCUGGAAGACCUAGAAGAGGUAUGGUGGACGGUGUGCACUUGCACUGCACCAACAACAACAACAACGACGCACCGAUACACAUCUUAAGCCGGAAGAGCACACAAAUCAAGAGUCUACGAGCGUGUUCGAGCCAAGCCCAGCAGAUCAGCAUCUUUUCGUGGCCAGCUAAUGUUUAUGAAAACUGAUCUGUGAUGAGGCAUGCAUCCGUCUGGGUGUGCAUCCUGACGUUCUACAACCUGCAGUCGUCGUCGCUGGCCGCAAUCGUCCCCCCGCCUUGGAGUGACCCCAACAAAAAUCCCUGCGCCAGCCAACCCGGCGGCUGGCAGCUGCUAUACUGGCCACCGCUCAAGAAAUGCUUCAAAAUCUUCCAACUGGGCUAUCCCUGCCCAGACACGAUGGAGCUGAGCCCGGUGGGCUCGGGAACACUCGGGGGCGGUUCCGGAGCGGAAUGCCGGUGCCCGCCGACGACGGCGCAGUCUCCGCUGACCAAGCGCUGCCAUCCACUGUUUGAGCGCGGGCCGUGCGACUUUGGCCAGUACUUUGCGCCGAUCGCCGACUCGGAAGUGAAGAGUGCCAUACCAAAGCAACGCUGGGGAAUCUGCAAGUCGACGGAAAUUUGCCAAAGCGGAAUGGUUUACUGGCCGCAGGACAACAAGUGCUACCAGCUGCAUACCAAAGGGCCGUGUCCCAAGGGGAAGUUGCUCAGCUUGGACAACGAUGGGAUCGCCAAGUGUAGGUGUGAAAAUGAGGGCGAGCUGAGCAAUUACUUCUACAACGAGACGGAAACUUGCCACGAGUUCUUCACCAGAGGACCAUGUUUGCGGACGGGGGAGUUAUUUCUGCCGUCGAAGAAGUGCGCUUGCCACCAGAGACUGCCGCACUUUCACAACGAGACGAACCAGUGUUACGAGCUGGGGACGAUUGGACCGUGUCCGAUUGGUCACACGUUCAUUAUCGCCGACAAGCGUGGCCAGCAGGAAGUGAGCUCGAUGCGGGCCGAGUGUCGAUGUAAGGACAAUUACGUACCCUGGAAGGACGGCUACUGCUACAAGUUGUACACGCAGGGGCCGUGCGAGUUUGGAUCGUUUGUAACGGAAGCGAACGUCUGUACGCCGAAUCCGUGCGAAAAAGGUCGACUUUACUUCGCAAAGGAGAAGACCUGCUACCGCAUCGGAUCGCAAGGUCCCUGCAGUCUGCACCAGGUGGUGAUAUUUGACUUUACCACACGGCCUUCGCUGGACGGAAUCUCGUACAACGGCAUCUGCGGAUGCUCCGGAGUGAUUCACAACCUGGACCAAUCGUGCUCCGAAGACGAAGUUCCCAAAAGUGCCUGCGACAGCACUCCGGACAUGGUCGAGAUCAACAAGCAGUGCUUCAAACUGUACACUCGAGGUCCUUGCGGGCCCGGCCAGUGGCUGGAAACGAAGAAGGGUCCCGCAAAGGUACGGGGCGCCAUUUGCGUUUGCCGACCUGGUUUCACCCCGUACGAAUCUCCGCUGCAGAACGGCGUCAUCGGAUGCCAACCGCCGGCCGUCGGAUUAGCCAGGUAUUUGAACGAACUGCUUUCGUUCAGGAUCGGCAACUUUACGCUUGCCCCAUUCUUCCCAACUCUAACGUAGUAGCAUCCACAACCAAUCACUAACUACCUUACCAAAACCUGCGCGUGCUAACUUACUCCUUCCCUACCCGAUUUAACAGCAUGAACCCCGCAGCAAAAUUGGUGGUUCAUGAGCCUGUUGGGAUUCGGACCGACCGAACCGGAAGAGUACUAAGUUACCAAUUGACCAGGAAACAUUCACAGUAUCAAUGGUUCCUGCCCCCACCUCCCCCCAACGAGCGAAAGAGAAUCGUAAAAUAGGCACGCACGCAGUAGGGUUAGUGAAUAAGUAUUGUGAUUGUGCCAUAAUCGCGCGGAUGGUUUAAGAUUACAAUAAAAGAAAACACUAGUAGCACGUAAGAGUUUGCAAGUAAUGCCACAAUGCCGACUGAGUAGGUUAAACAGUAUUGUAUCGUAGAGUAAAUAAAUGCAAAUAAAGAUCGAAAAAUACAGGGUGUA